rnacentral:rRNA from 1 species
CCUACGGGAGGCUGCAGUGGGGAAUAUUGCACAAUGGGGGAAACCCUGAUGCAGCGACGCCGCGUGAGUGAAGAAGUAUCUCGGUAUGUAAAGCUCUAUCAGUAGGGAAGAAAAUGACGGUACUUGACUCAGAAGCCCCGGCUAACUACGUGCCAGCAGCCCCGGUUAAAAGGAGGGGGCAAGCGUAAUACGGAUUUACUGGGUGUAAAGGGGGUGCAGACGGCACUGCAAGCCAGGAGGGAAAGCCCGGGGGCCAACCCCGGGACAGCUCUUGGAACUGCAUGGCUGGAGUAGGGGAGGGGCAGGCGGAAUUCGUGGUGUAGCGGUGAAAUGCGUAGAUAUUAGGAAGAACACCGGUGGCGAAGGCGGCCUGCUGGACUGUGACUGACGUUGAGGCCCGAAGGCGUGGGGAGCGAACAGGAUUAGAUACCCCAGUAGUC